rnacentral:rRNA from 1 species
UCCAAUCGAACCUGGAGAUAGCUGGUUCUCUCCGAAAUAGCUUUAGGGCUAGCCUCAAGUGAUGAUUAUUGGAGGUAGAGCACUGUUUGGACGAGGGGCCCCUCUCGGGUUACCGAAUUCAGACAAACUCCGAAUGCCAAUUAAUUUAACUUGGGAGUCAGAACAUGGGUGAUAAGGUCCGUGUUCGAAAGGGAAACAGCCCAGACCACCAGCUAAGGUCCCAAAAUAUAUGUUAAGUGGAAAAGGAUGUGGCGUUGCCCAGACAACUAGGAUGUUGGCUUAGAAGCAGCCAUCAUUUAAAGAGUGCGUAAUAGCUCACUAGUCGAGUGACACUGCGCCGAAAAUGUACCGGGGCUAAACAUAUUACCGAAGCUGUGGAUUGUCCUUUGGACAAUGGUAGGAGAGCGUUCUAAGGGCGUUGAAGCAUGAUCGUAAGGACAUGUGGAGCGCUUAGAAGUGAGAAUGCCGGUGUGAGUAGCGAAAGACGGGUGAGAAUCCCGUCCACCGAUUGACUAAGGUUUCCAGAGGAAGGCUCGUCCGCUCUGGGUUAGUCGGGUCCUAAGCUGAGGCCGACAGGCGUAGGCGAUGGAUAACAGGUUGAUAUUCCUGUACCACCUAUAAUCGUUUUAAUCGAUGGGGGGACGCAGUAGGAUAGGCGAAGCGUGCGAUUGGAUUGCACGUCUAAGCAGUAAGGCUGAGUAUUAGGUAAAUCCGGUACUCAUUAAGGCUGAGCUGUGAUGGGGAGAAGACAUUGUGUCUUCGAGUCGUUGAUUUCACACUGCCGAGAAAAGCCUCUAGAUAGAAAAUAGGUGCCCGUACCGCAAACCGACACAGGUAGUCAAGAUGAGAAUUCUAAGGUGAGCGAGCGAACUCUCGUUAAGGAACUCGGCAAAAUGACCCCGUAACUUCGGGAGAAGGGGUGCUCUUUAGGGUUAACGCCCAGAAGAGCCGCAGUGAAUAGGCCCAAGCGACUGUUUAUCAAAAACACAGGUCUCUGCUAAACCGUAAGGUGAUGUAUAGGGGCUGACGCCUGCCCGGUGCUGGAAGGUUAAGAGGAGUGGUUAGCUUCUGCGAANGCUAAACAUAUUACCGAAGCUGUGGAUUGUCCUUUGGACAAUGGUAGGAGAGCGUUCUAAGGGCGUUGAAGCAUGAUCGUAAGGACAUGUGGAGCGCUUAGAAGUGAGAAUGCCGGUGUGAGUAGCGAAAGACGGGUGAGAAUCCCGUCCACCGAUUGACUAAGGUUUCCAGAGGAAGGCUCGUCCGCUCUGGGUUAGUCGGGUCCUAAGCUGAGGCCGACAGGCGUAGGCGAUGGAUAACAGGUUGAUAUUCCUGUACCACCUAUAAUCGUUUUAAUCGAUGGGGGGACGCAGUAGGAUAGGCGAAGCGUGCGAUUGGAUUGCACGUCUAAGCAGUAAGGCUGAGUAUUAGGCAAAUCCGGUACUCAUUAAGGCUGAGCUGUGAUGGGGAGAAGACAUUGUGUCUUCGAGUCGUUGAUUUCACACUGCCGAGAAAAGCCUCUAGAUAGAAAAUAGGUGCCCGUACCGCAAACCGACACAGGUAGUCAAGAUGAGAAUUCUAAGGUGAGCGAGCGAACUCUCGUUAAGGAACUCGGCAAAAUGACCCCGUAACUUCGGGAGAAGGGGUGCUCUUUAGGGUUAACGCCCAGAAGAGCCGCAGUGAAUAGGCCCAAGCGACUGUUUAUCAAAAACACAGGUCUCUGCUAAACCGUAAGGUGAUGUAUAGGGGCUGACGCCUGCCCGGUGCUGGAAGGUUAAGAGGAGUGGUUAGCUUCUGCGAAGCUACGAAUCGAAGCCCCAGUAAACGGNGGAGCGCUUAGAAGUGAGAAUGCCGGUGUGAGUAGCGAAAGACGGGUGAGAAUCCCGUCCACCGAUUGACUAAGGUUUCCAGAGGAAGGCUCGUCCGCUCUGGGUUAGUCGGGUCCUAAGCUGAGGCCGACAGGCGUAGGCGAUGGAUAACAGGUUGAUAUUCCUGUACCACCUAUAAUCGUUUUAAUCGAUGGGGGGACGCAGUAGGAUAGGCGAAGCGUGCGAUUGGAUUGCACGUCUAAGCAGUAAGGCUGAGUAUUAGG